UACGUAGGAUGCGAGCGUUGUCCGGAAUUAUUGGGCGUAAAGCGAACGUAGGCGGCCAUCUAAGUUUGGUCUUAAAGACCGGGGCUCAACCCCGGGAAUGGACUGAAGACUGGGUGGCUGGAGCGUGUUAGAGGAAAGUGGAAUUCCAGGUGUAGCGGUGAAAUGCGUAGAUAUCUGGAGGAACACCGGUGGCGAAGGCGGGUCUCUGGGCCGAUACUGACGCUGAGGAGCGAAAGCGUGGGGAGCGAACAGG
rnacentral:rRNA from 1 species